AGGAAAGUUAUAAAAUUAAUCUCUGAAUAAAUUUCCUUUGGACACUAAUACAGUAGUGUAAUACACCACCUGUCAUAAAAGAAUUAAUAAGCCUUUUCAUCAGUUUGUUUAUUACAGGAUCAUAGACAUAUCAGUCAGAAGGGAACUUUGGAGCCCGUGUUGUCCAACUGCCCACUUCAAGUAGGACUAUUGCUAACCCUGGAUCAGACCAGCUUUUUGUCUUCUUCUGCUCUAGUUCAAGCACUACAUUACCCUACCCUUCGGAGAGCAUUUUCCUAAUGCCCAGUCUGAACCUUUGAAGCCACUGUUUCUGGCCAUUGGUCACUGCUCUGGUGACGUCAUGGUAGCAAGAGUUUAGCUCCAUGCUUUAACCUUCUCUUCACCAAAGUAAACAAGCCCACCUCUCCCAAGUCUCACUGGAGGUCAUGUGUUACAGGCCCCUGACUGUACCUGCUCCUGUGUUUUAACAUCCCUUCUGAAGUACCCAAAAGUGUGUUUCAGGUGCAGCCUCUACAGCUCCUGAGUAGCGGAAUGAGAAUGACUUCCCUUGAUCUGCUGGCUACACACCUCCUUAAUAUAGUAGUCAGUUUGCUUCGUGGAUGGCAGGAACACAUUUAUCCAUUUAUCACCCAGAUCCAGACAUAGUGCACAAUGUGACUUCUUUUCCUCAGCCAGCCACUCCACAGCCUGCAUGGAAAUGUGGAGCUAUUCUGCACCAGAUGUGAAACUUCGUACAUUUCCUUAUCCAACUUCCUAAAGCUUUUGCUGACUCAGUCCUCAAGUAUAUCAGGGUCCUUCUGGUUUAAUGCUUUACCAUUCAGUGUGUCAAGCACUGCUUUCAGCUUGUCCAUGUAGCAAGUCCCUUCAUCUCAAUGAUCAUAGGGUUGAGGGUUUAUGUAUAAGAAUCAGGGGGAAGACCAUCAUGGAAGAUACUAUAGUGCCAGCCUGUUUUACAGACCAUGCAACCGGGAUGAAGAGGCAGAUGAAAUAUUCUGUCAGUAGCUGGGAGAAGUUUCACAAUUGCUAGCCCUUGUUCUCAUGGGGGACUUUGCAGAUGGCCACUAGAAAUACAAUACAGCUGAGAGGGAACAGUGUAGGAGGUUCAAGGAACAUGUGGAAGAUUACUUCCUGACAGCUGGUGAGGGAGCCAGCCAGGGAGGGCACCCCCUCGACCUUUUGUUUGUGAACAGAGAAGGACUUGUGGGUAAUGUGGCAGCUGGAGGCUGCUUUGGACAAAGCAAUCAUGAAAUGAUAGUUUUAAAUUCUCAGAGAAGUAAGGAGGGUGGUCAUCAGAACUGCUACGUUGGGCUUCCAGAGGGCAGACAUUGUCUUGUUUAGGAUCCUGGUUGACAGAUUCCCUUGGAAGGCAGUCCUGAAGGGCAAAGGACUACAAAAAAGCUGGACAUUCUUCAAGGAUAGAAGUGGGGAAGACAACCGGCUUGGCUGAACAGAGAGUUUUGUCUAGAAGUCAUAGAAAAAAAGAGAAGUUAUGCAGGGAGAAAAUUAGGGGGUCCAAAGCCCAACUAGAACAUAAUCUGGCUGCCAUAAAAGACCAAAAAAUGUUUCUGUAAAUACAUUUUCAACAAAAGGACAAUCUUUGUUAAGGACAACCUUUGUUAAGGACAAUUUUUGUCAAUGAUCUGGAUUAAGAGGAUGCAUUUUGCUUGCUAUUCACACAGUACCUUACUGAAUUAAAUUCAUAAAAUGAAAAAAGGAAACCCUAGAAUGCCUAUGAGGUGGAUUCGCUAUGAGUCUUAGAUUGUCACAUUUAACCAUAUAUUCCAAGCUAGAUGGAAUUAAAAUGAGAACAUAGAAAAAUUUAAUAGAGUCAUAGUGAAAACAGCACUAUGGACUGAUAAUUGAGUGUUUUACUGAGGUGUCCCACACAGCUGAGACUUCAGUGUGAGCACGUUUCAGGGAGAGCAAGGAUGAAAGUACCUCAUAAUAUAUGCAGUUGUGUAGUUACUGCAGAAGUAUUCCCUCAUUAAGAUAAUACAGAAAAACAGCAAAUUGGUGUUCUACUGGAAUGCAAGAAGAUGAGUAAACACUUGCUGCAGAAAGGAUGCCUCCCUAAAAGUGAGCCAUAUGAAUACCUCAGAAUGGAGAGUCUUCAGAAUAUUCAUUAAAGGGGUUCCAAAGCAUGAGCUAGUCUGAAGGACUUCAAAAGUUCAGACAUCUUAAUUGCUCACAGGUGGUGCCAAUGUGGUAUCCCAGUAUCAUAUUGUUCUGCAUGGUCUUUACCUGUAGCCUGGCUUUCUGAUAGCCUACCAGAUUGGAUUUUCUUUUUUAGGGUAUUUUACUAUAUUUGUGCUUUUCAAGGCAAAUUUGGAGCAUGUGCUGAACUGCGUUCAGGGUUCUGCAAGAUCUCACCUUAGGUCCUCACUCACAUCAUUUACAUGUUUCAAUGCAAAAGAGGGAGCAAUAGUGGUGAAGAGUGAAAAACAAAAUCACAGUGGUGACGAAUAUGCCUGGAACACCUUUUGCCAUCAAGCAUGAUCAUCUUUAGUGUGAUGUGUCCCUGCCCAUGGCAGGGGGGUUGGAACUAGAUGAUCUUGAGGUCCUUUUCAAUCCUAACUAUUCUAUGAUUCUCAUGCUGUCAAGGAUAGCAUUUAAGACAGUAGACUGGUGAAUGGAGUGGUUAUUCCAGUAGCAUGGACUUCU